rnacentral:rRNA from 1 species
GACGAACGCUGGCGGCGUGCUUAACACAUGCAAGUCGAACGAUGAAGCUGGAGCUUGCUCUGGUGGAUUAGUGGCGAACGGGUGAGUAACACGUGAGUAACCUGCCCUGGACUCUGGGAUAACCCCGAGAAAUCGGAGCUAAUACCGGAUAGGACCUUGCACCGCAUGGUGUGGGGUGGAAAGUUUUUCGGUCUGGGAUGGACUCGCGGCCUAUCAGCUUGUUGGUGAGGUAAUGGCUCACCAAGGCGUCGACGGGUAGCCGGCCUGAGAGGGUGACCGGCCACACGGGGACUGAGACACGGCCCAGACUCCUACGGGAGGCAGCAGUGGGGAAUAUUGCACAAUGGGCGCAAGCCUGAUGCGGCAACGCCGCGUGCGGGAUGACGGCCUUCGGGUUGUAAACCGCUUUUAGUAAGGAAGAAGGGGCUUCGGCCUUGACGGUACUUGCAGAAAAAGGACCGGCUAACUACGUGCCAGCAGCCGCGGUAAGAC